rnacentral:ncRNA from 1 species
UUCCGGGGGGAGUAUGGUUACAAAACAGAAACUUAAAGGAAUUGACGGAACGGCACCACCAGGAGUGGAUCCUGCGGCUUAAUUUGACUCAACACGGGAAAACUCACCAGGUCCAGACACCGGUAGGAUUGACAGAUCGAUAGCUCUUUCUCGAUUCGGUAGUUGGUGGUGCAUGGCCGUUCUUAGUUGGUGGAGUGAUCCGUCUGGUUGAUU